rnacentral:misc_RNA from 1 species
AAAGUCGUAACAAGGUUUCCGUAGGUGAACCUGCGGAAGGAUCAUUAACACGAAACUUUUUUACAAUUUUGUAAAAAAUGUUUUACAACUAAACCUGUGCUCUUUCUUUUUUUCACACCUUCAACCCUUUAAUUUUAAUAAUUUUUUUUUUUGUCCAAAGAACACAGUUUUUUGGUUACAACUUAAAUAAAGUUGAACAUACAACUGUUAACAAUGGAUAUCUAGGCUCUC